rnacentral:lncRNA from 1 species
AAGACUUUCUGCCCCCAGGGAGGCCUGGGAGGAGGUGCCGGUGAAUCAGGGGCUCUAAAGGGCCACCCAGCACGCCACCCAUCCCUUUGUGACUUAGGGGCCACGGGGUCCUCUGGCUUCGAGGCUGGUAUUUGAUCCCCUGCCGGCCUGUGCAGACAGCCGAGGGCGUGGACGUGAUGAAAGAACCCAGCGCUCGGGCUGAACAAAGCCGGCAGCGAACGUGCUCAGCCCCUUCAGUUUCUUCGCUGAUGGGUCCAAGCGCGCCCUCUAGCGGCCGCCCCUGGAUCUGCGCCCCCGAGUCUUCACACUCGUGUGCGACUGUUCACCUCAAGCCGGGCCACAGCCUCGGAGCCGUGUGAAGACGGGGCAGGACUGCGUGUCGCUAUCCUCUGAACCCCUUCGCCAGGGCUGUCCUGCAGGCAAGUGUGUGAGUCAGGCUGGACCUACCCCCUGGCGGCUUGGGUCGGGUUCCGUAGUGAGCCCAGCUUCUUAACCCACAAGCGCGCCUACAACUCCUCCCUCCUCCGCCCCCAGCUCUGUUCCCCUUUCCGCCUCAGUUGUCAGGGCCGCCUGCAACCCUGCAUCUCAGGCCGUGGUUUGCAGCGCUGGUUGCUGCUUUCCUUGAAGCCCUUCUUUGCAAAGUUUCUGGGAGCUAAUAUUUCCUGCGUGGAUGAAGCCAAGCCAAUCUGGGUGAGUUGACUGUGGACCUGAAGUUGAAUCUGAUCCAUUCACCUUAACCUAGGUUAUUUUAAAACAUACCACAUCGACUCUUUUCUGUUCCUUGUUACAAAAUUUUAGUAUUGUGGAAUGCUGUGUAGGAAAUUCUGAUCAGAUCAAUCUCUAUGAUCUCCUGGAAGAGCAGUGUAAAUUCCAUCUUUGUUCCCUAUUGAAAAAAAACCCGAACGCUUGAGCACUCAUUGGGUACAUGAAAUUGUUUUAGGUGCUAGGCCCUCCAUUUCCUGUAACCCAAGGGGGGUUCUUUUAGGGCAAUUAGAAGGAAGUAACGUGGCGUUUACUUUUGCACAUAUUCCUUCAAAUUUCUGUUUUCUAUAUUACAAGCUACUGUCCACAGAGGGUCAUAAAUCCCCUGGCGAAGUCAUAUGUUACACCACGUGACUCGCUUUGCAUCUGUUUUGCAGCUGUUCACUUUGCAGUUUUAUUUCGCCUUUUGGAAACCCUAGAGCAGUGCUUCUCAAACAUGCGUGCGCAUACGAAUUGCUCAGGCAUCUUGUUAAAAUGCAGAUUUUGAGUCAGGGGGUCUGGGCAGGGCUGAGAUUCUACCGUUCUAAGGAGAUGCUGGGGGGGCCAAUUCUGCUGCUCUGGACACCACACUUGGAAGAGUAGUAGGAACAAGAGGACUGUGGGAGCUGUCACAGUGUCACGUCAAUGUGCAUGUACUGAGCACCAGGCCGGCUCUGUUGGUUCUGGUCUACUGUUCCCGUCACCCCUUCCCUUUCCCUUUUCUUUUUGAUAUCCUUUACUGUUGUCUUGAAUGGAGAGAAGCUGCGAGAGCAAAGCCAAAAGCCAUGUUGAUACAGGCUCUGUGGGUAGCAUCUUAUGUUGCUUCAGGUCCUCUGGGCUGGAAGAAAACAGAAGGGUCGUGCAGCCAGCUGUCACUGAAACCGGUGUGACCUCUGCAUAUGUGUGUGAGAAGCCAGAAAUAGACCCUAAACCUGUGGUUUCAGUUCCUCAACUUUAUUUUGCUAAAGUGAGAGAAGCAGCAGGAAUCUGCAAGAAGCUAGGAUCUUCUCCCUCCUUGACAUGUGCUGUGAUCGAGGGCGGGGUUUCUCCGCUGUGGCACGCAUGACAUUUACGGCUGGAUCAUUGUUUGCUGUAGGGGAGGGUGAGUGGUCUCUGCGUUGUAGGAUGUUUUCUAGCAUCCUGGGACUCUCCCCACUAGAUGCCAGUUACGACGACAAAAAUAUCUACAGCCUUUCCCAGAUGUCCACUUGGGGGCCAAAAUUGCCCCUGGUUGAGAACCACUGAUCUAGGAUAAGGUAUAAUUUGUCAGUUCUGCUGAAUGUGUAUCUUCUUCAAAGUUAUCUAUCUGCCUUUUCAAAUUGCAUCUUGUUUUCCACUUUCUAGGUGGAAUGUUUCUACGUGGGAUACCACAAAAUGGAAUUUCCAAAUAAGUGAAGCUAAAGCAUAGGGGUUUGUAGUCUGGGCCUGUUCCAACUGACCAGCUCUGGCUACUAGAAACACUAGGUUGAAAAGGGUCUGAGGAUUCUGUAUGGGGUGGGAAAGAACUCUGACUGCCAUAGGGAUGGGCGUGGGGCAGCGGGGCCAUUACGCUUGCCGUGGGUUUGUCUUUUUAAAAAACUAUAAAUUGCCAUCAUUCCUUGCAUCCCAAUAUUCUGUUCGCUCUCAAGGGGGCAGUAGCUGUGGUCUGAUGGAAAGCAUGUUGGUCUUGGGGUCUGAAGAUUUGAGUUGGAAUCUCAGCUAUGAAAUUUACUAAGUAUGACCUUGAAUGAGUGGGUCAUUUAAUCUCCCCAAAUCUCAGUUUCCUCAGCUUGAGAUAUGGGCUGUUCAUCCCUCACUCAUAAGGUGGGUGUGAGGAUUAAAGAAGAUAAAUGAAAGUAUAUAAAUAGUACCUGGUUUAUAGGAGAGCUCAAUAAUACAUGUGUGUUUAUGCAUCCUUUAUUUAUUUAUUCAUCCAAUAAAUAGGUGAAACAAAUUUUGGGCUGGGGAGUAUGGUCCUAUACUGAGUGCUUGGAAAAUUUGAGAAGUUGAAACCAGAGUCCUAAAGGGGCUUGUCCAGAAGGAGAAAAGAAGAGCUGGGAGGAUUGGGCCAGCCAUCCUUUCAAAGUGAAGGUAUAUUUGGAAGUUUGGAAGCCUUCAAACGAGCCCCCACUGGGAGAAUAAUUUGGAAGAGGAAGAGAUAUCUGUAUUUGUAGAGAUGACUCAUUAGGGAAGCCAUAAUGAGUUCUCAGAAGUGUGGUCCUGGAACCAGCAGCACCAGCGUCACCGGGAGCUUGUCAGAAAUGCACUCAGAAAGGCCAGGACCUAAAGCUCACUUGAUUCAUAGGCAAGACACUCAGGCCCUCACUCAGACUUAUGUUCUUUGGCUUGCUUCUUUUUUCUUUGAGGAAGAUUAGCCCUGAGCUAACAUCUGCUUCCAAUCCUCCUCUUUUUGCUGAGGAAGACUGGCCCUGAGCUAACAUCCAUGCCCAUCUUCCUCUACUUUAUAUGUGGGACGCCUACCACGGCGUGGCUUGCUAAGCGGUGCCAUGUCCGCAUCCGGGAUUUGAACCGGUGAGCCCUGGGCCACCGAAGCGGAACGUGUGACCUUAACCGCUGUGCCACCGGGCUGGCCCCAACUUGCUUCUUACAAAGUAUACAUUUUCUAAUCCAUAGCAGAGAAGAAUCAGCGUAUUAGAAGAGGUGAUGUGGAACUAUUGCAAGUUGGAACAAUGAAAGCAAAAAUAAGGUGAAAAUUGGUAAAGAAUGAAAAACAUUCAAAUGUUAAGACUGAACUUGGAUCCUCUGAUGCAGGGCAGACAGCCACAUACCCCUCAAUAAGUCCUGUGGUCAUUACUUAAUAUUCUAAAAAUAGAUACCUGUGAUGUCGGCCUAGAAUCAUCAAGAAAAAUUUAAACCGUGUUUUAUGUUCUCUGUUUAAAAUCAGAGGAUGGUGUAGAUUUCAGAAAGAUUUUUAAGAUAAAAAAAUACACUUCAAAUAAAUACAUUUUAAGUAUUUUGAAGAGUUAGCUUUACUUACUUGGGAAUUUCACUUUGGGGCAUGCUUUCUUCCCCAAGAAAUGGAUCAUGAAGCAUCACUGUAACCUGUCAGAGGUCAGGAGCCCUGCCCCGUACAACCUACUUGAGCACACUGCAAGGACCCUGCAAAGACGCGUUGACUGAUUAAGCUUCUCUGGAGGCAUUGAGAAAAAAUAGAAACUCAAUUGUAUUAUAGUCAUCAUGCUGUUCCCACCUUGCCCCGUUAUUGCUUCUAUCUUCAAAGCCACACAUGUCUGUUCAUUUUCUGUCCUGUUUGCUUCUUUCUUUCUAUGGAGAAAAUGAAAUUAUGCAUGGAGAGCAACCUUGCUGAGAACAUUUGUUUCCCUUCCAGGUUGUCUCUCCAUGGCAGCAACCUCACCUGCUAGCUCCCUGUAGGUACUAAUCAUAAUUACAGAUCUUCAGGAGUUAAGUGAAUUUCACCCCUUGUCACCAGCUAUGAAGGUCAUUGCUUCCGGGAUUGGCUAUUUGUUGAGAAGACUUAUUAGGGAAGCCUUAAUGAAUUCUCAAAGUGUGGUCCCUGGACCAGCCGCAUCAGCAUCACCUGGGAGCUUGUCAGAAAUGCAGAUUUCCAGACCUCACUCAGACCUGCUGAAUUAAAAAACACAGUGGGUGAGGCCCAGCAAUCUUGGUUAACAGCCCUCCAGGUGAUUCUGAUGCAUGGUCAAGUUUGAGAUUCGCUGCCCUAGACCAGAAUACUAACCUUUAUUCAUUUCACCCCUAUGGCACCCCAGGGGGAACAAGUUGUUCUCAAUUCAGAAUAUUUGGGCUAUAAAUCUAGCGAGGUUCCUAAGCUUAGUAGAAAGAACAGGCUGAGAUAAACCUGGGUUUAAAUUCUGGGUCUGCUGCUUUUACUUACAUGUCUUUGAAUGUGUUAUUGGUGCACGUUAAAUAUUAUUAACCAUUUUGAGGCUCAUUUUCCUUAAUGCUUUCUUCAAAAUGCUGCCCCGAAGACAGAAUGAACUAACAUACAUUAAACACCUAGUACCAAGCUUUACACACAAAAAGACUAAAUGUUAGGUCUCUUGCCCUUCCUUAUUUUGUUUAGGCAUCAGAGGUGUUUCCACUUAGAGAAUGUGUUUUCCUAUAAAAACAGCAUUUAGUGCUCAGAACCAAGCGUAUCUGAAACACCAACAUUAGCAUUAUAUUUUGGGUAUGUUACGGGUUAAAUACUAGCCCAACAGGCUUUUGUGUGCUGACCUGGAAACUUAAUUAUCCAUUUAUUUCUUUAUUUCUUUAUUUAGUAAUGCCUUUAAAAAGCACAGUACAAUUUCCUUAUGGGGAAAUAUAUUCCAAGUUCCAAAAAUGUAAUUUACACAUGACUUUUGAGACAUGCUCUGUUCAUUAGAUGUUUCUAGGCAUAUAUUAUAUCUUUAAUAUGAUCCAGAUAGUCAAACUCCAGGAGCCAGAGAUUUAGAAGCUCCAUAAAAUGAGUGCCUUUUCUCAACACUAAUAGUAUUCUUUGUAAUUAAGUAAAACGCAAAGGACAUCACAGUUGUGACUUGGUGCUGACUAUGCUAAGUGGAAAUGAAGAAGUGGGACAUUAGCACAAAGCUGGGCUGACUGAAGCACAGAGGAAAGUGGAAACUCCCUGUUUGAGCUCCUGUUUGGCCAUGAAGUCACACUCAUUGUCUUCAGGAUAAGUCCUCACUGAGCAGCUGUCACCUCAGUCGCCACAUCGUGUGGUGGCUCCAAUGUUAGUGUUCAAAGGCGGAAGCUCCAGCUCCUUGAAAUGAACCAUUUGUAUUUCUGCCUCCCAGGAAAAGCACAGAUUGUGAGAAGCGAUCUCAAUCUUUGUUCAAGGUCGAUGGUAAGUUGUCUUUUCCUUAAAAUUAUUUUGUGAAAAUUUCAGUGGCUGUGUCCCAAGGAGGCUGCUAAUUGAGGCAGUGUUGCCCAGUGGACAACGGUGCCUUCGGGGCAGAAGGUCGGGGUUCUAACCCCAGCCUUACUUGUUACACGUAGUCUGAUCUUUGACAAGUCAUGCGACCUUUCUGAGCCUAAGUUUUCACUUCUGUAGAAGGUAUUAAUAGUGCCCGACCUCACAAAUUCAAAGGACUAUUGUUAUAAGGAACAAAUGAGAUGAUGUUUACAAACAUCUUAACCCUGUCUAUGAUGGACAUGGAAUAUUAAACCAGAAAAAGCCCUAAAAAGGCAGCAGGUGCAACUUUUUUAACCACAGGGGGACCUUUUGAUGGCAGAAGGCACAGGAAGCAAUGACAGAUGGAACAGACUUGAGUAACGGGAGAGAUUUUUCCAGACAACAUUUAACCUAGGAGUUCCUCUUUUCCUACUUCGAGCCAAGGACUCUUUAUCCCUCCCACCCUGACUGGGGUGGUGUUCACAUACCUUUCUCACAGGUGUUUAUAGGAGUGGUUCUGCAGAGGGCAUUUGCAGAAUGGCUUAAUUUAAACACUUCGUAUUGACCACAUUUCAGCAUUUGUGUGGAGCUUUUCAGCUGUCAGUGGGAACAAAUUAACUGGAGCAAUAGAAGCGCCGGUGCAGAAUCUGAGCUUGAAAAGCUGUACACGGUAAAGCCAUGUUGCCCUGUCACUCAGGUUUGCCCUUUACCUGCCAUGGCAGAGAUCUGAAGCUUUAAUCUCUGAUAGGAUAGACCAGAGGGCCUUUGGAUGGGGUACUUCAGUUUAUUUGUGGGUGUGGGCAGUAUAUCACGUCAACACUGUACCAUUUUAAAACAGAGAGACGACGUGACCAUAUGCACGCUACAUUCAGAACGAAGGGACCACUUGCCCUGGUCCUCCAGCGGGCCCACAGAACACUGGCCCAGGGCACUCCCCUCUGGGCAGGAGAUGGAAGGCUGAGAGACUGACCAGCCCAAGAGGAAAGACCCAAAUAUCCUGACAUCAGGGUUUUGCUCCAAAAGGCACCACCCAUACAAUGCUACAGUGAAGUUCAAAGUUGACAAAGCUCGUCAUAAGCUCAGAGCUUUCAAUGAGCUUUUCUUCUUUACUGGUUAUUGUGAGUAGAUGGCCAAAAAGUACUAGAUAUUUGAGAAAAGUCUCUCUCAUGGUAGGUUCGGAUGAAAAAAGCAAAUAAAUAACAGCAACUCAGAGACUGCAUAGACAAGGGAGGGUAAAAAAGAACCUAUUAUUAAAAUCCUCGGAGGGAAAGGAGAGGACACUGCAUCUUGGAUAAAGGAACAAGAGACUAUGAAAAAGAGACAUUCAGAGGCCAAACAUGUGCUUCUGGAAAUUAAAAACUCAAUAAAAGAAAAGGAAAUCAUCUGGAAAGUACAGUAAAAAAAUACACAAAUGGAAACUAGAAUGGGAAUAUAAGGAAAUUAAAGGAUCAGUUCAGGAGAUCCAAUAUCUGAAUAAUGUGAGUCUCCAGAAUGAAAGGACAGAGGGAGCAAAGGAGAUGAAAUCACCAAAAAAUAAUUUAAGAAAAUUUCCCUGAAUUGAAGGAUCUAAGUUGCCAGACUGGAAGGGUCCAUUAAAUGUACAGCAAAAUGGAUAAAAAUAGGCUUACAACAGGCACACAUUGUGAAAAUUCAUGACAUUGGUAACAAAUAAGUUUCUACAAGCUUCCAAAGAGAAAAAAAGAUAAGUCAAAGGGAUUGGAACGAAAAUGGCUUUCGACUUUUUAAGAGCAACAUUGAAAGCAAGAAGAUAGCAGAACAGUGCCUUCAAAGUUGUGAAGGACAAUUAUUCCAUCUUGGAAUUCUAGCCCUAAACUAUCACUUCAGUUUAAGAGUGCGAAAACUACAGGCACACAAAGUCUCAGCAUCUUUAUGUCUCAGGCAACUUUGCUCAAGCUCAUCUCAGGUAGGAUGUACUCUGCUAGAAAUGAGAGAAUGAACAGAGACAGACAUGGGAUACAGGAUUUAGGAUAUCCAGGUAGAAAGGAUGAGAUGAAGUCUCCCGGAGGACGGUGAAAGAAGAUCCUAGACUGAGAGCUGCGCUUGCCGUGGCCAACCGUGCAGACUGGAGGAGUGGACCCGGGAGACAGGGUGAGUGCCGCUGCCUGCAAGAUCUCACUGCCUUUUCUUUCAAACUGAGAACAGCACGUCUGAGGUUCGAGUCACCUUCUUGACUUGGCUUGUCUUGACCACAUGCUGAUGAAAUGCCUGCAUGUACUGCUGCUUAGAUCUGCUGAGGACGUUCAUUUCACCCCACAGAAUUGUUCAGUUUACACUUACUCCUGAGAGCUGGCAAUCAGUCGUGGGUUUAGAAGCAGAAAAUACUCAAUAGUCCAUUUGGAAGGCUGGAUGUCCCGCGCCCGGCCCACACUGCAGUCAUGCCUGGUGCCCCACGAUGGCGAGCUCUGUUUCUGAAGACUCACUGACGAGACCUGGCCCUCCAGCCUUCACCAGAAGUAGCGGAAGUGGAAGCCAGACUGUGACUCAGAGACUGUUCAGCUUUGCUUUUCUUGGGAGCCUUCAUCUAAAAGAGGCCAUAUUGCCUGUUCCUUCCGUGACCAGGCGUGUGCUGAUUACUGAGUCUUUCAAAAUGCAAGAGUAUAUUAUUUAUGGAUACAUGCAUUCGUGCUACAAUUAUUUUUUAAAAAUGCAAAAGAAUGCUUAACAUUAGAGUCAAGAUAGUGGUUAAUUCUCCAGGGAGUGAGUGGAAAGCAGGAUGCAAUUAGGGAGGGACACACAGUGGUCUUUAAAAUGACUUCUAUUUCUUUUUUUUUUUUGAGGAAGAUUAGCCCUGAGCUAACAUCUGCCGCCAAUCCUCCUCUUUUUGCUGAGGAAGCCUGGCCCUGAGCUAACAUCUGUGCCCAUCUUUCUCUACUUUAUAUGUGGGACGCCUACCACAGCAUGGCUUGAUGAGCAGUGCCAUGUCUGCACCUGGAGUAGAUGCUGGAGUUGUGCUGAGCCCCAAAGUGGAAGAUCUAAAGUGGUCCACAUUCACGCCGAGCAAGCAUGAAGCUCUCUGCACAUGGAAAAAUUUGAGAAACUCUCCAUCUAAUCCUACACCAAGCUGGGCACUGGGAAAAAAAUGUGUGUGAUUAAAUUGAUCCAUUCCUGCCUUACUGCUUCUGGAUUCUGUGUCAUAGAGAAGAUUUCCCCACUCCCAGGUUUUCUCCUCUCUGCAAAAAGGAAGCUUCAGAAUGCACUCUGAGGGGACAGUUAGGAGACCUGGGUUCUUGUCCCCACUUUCCCAGGCUAGUUCAUGAACUUGGGUUAGGGCAUUGCUUCUCUGACCCUCUGAGUCUGCACCUGUUGAAUGGAGCUUUGGAUCAGAUCCUCUCCACAGUGUUGCCCACCUCUGGAAUUCUGUGAUCCGAUGAUAUUCACCUGCACUCUGCAUGUGUCAUCUGACCAGUCCCAUUCUAGCCAGGCUGGCCAGUCCUGCAUGGUUUGAUGAGUGCAGUGUAGGUCUGCGCCCAGGAUCUGAACCUGCAAACCCCAGGCUGCUGAAGUGGAGCGUGUGAACUCCACCACUACACCACCGGGCCAGCCCCUCUAGUGCUUAUUUUUCAUACAGCACAGACUUUAAAUGUGAGCUGACUUCCUCAUCUGGCGCUUAGCUGAAGAAAUUGCCAUCUGCUCCAAUGCCACAGGAAUUACUGGUUGGACCGAUCAAUGUGUGUCUGAGUACUGCAUUUAGUGGACAAUGAAAGGAAUUCAAUUUUGACUAUCUAUGAUUUUUCACAUUACAAGCUACCAUUGGAAGCUGAUACUGACAUAAAUUAUGUUUCUAUUGUAAUGCAUGUUCAUUGCAGAGAAUUUGAAAUGUGUACCAGCAGAAGAAGCUAAAAGUCGUCUCCAAUCUCUCUACGUAGAGGAAAGAAUUGUGAUGAUUGUUAAGGGUGUCUAGCUCUCCAAUAUUUAUUCUAUGCCUCUGGUGAUGUGGUAGGAUACAAAUUUGAGAUAUUGUUCUGGGUCCUUUCCCCCACUGCGUUCCCUUGUACUCUAUCCUGGGGUCAUCCUGCACUGCCUUCCACUCCAUCACUUCUUAAAGGUUCAACGUUGCCUUAGGAAACUUUUGUCAGAAUUAGGAGCCUUGAAUGUCAAACUUUGGGAUGUGAACAUUUUGAAAGUCCACGUCCCAAAGAGUUCAGUGCAUAAAAUUGCAUGGGGGCAAACAGGCAGAAGGGAAGAGAAGCCAGGCUCCCCUCUCUCAGAGGAU